GCUCUGCUCUCUGCUCCUGCUGUUGGUGUGGUUGGUAUCCCUUUGGAGUUGGGGGAGUAGAUUUAGAGCUACCCCGGGGUAUACAUCACCCGUAGGCAUACUUCUCUGUCUAGAAACACCAGCUAGACCUGGGCGGACCACCAUCUGUAAGUUUGGUUAGGGCGCCUUGAUCGUGUGCCAGAUAGGUGAUGUGUAUAAUUAGAAUAGGUUAGCGGUGGGGUAUCUUUUGUUUAUUUCUUUUCUUUGGUUCGUCCAGCUCUCCCCUUUCUCCCUGAAAAUUAUUUAUCAUUCACAUUAUUACCGUGGCAAAAAUAAAAGCUUAGUUUGUACGGUA